rnacentral:rRNA from 1 species
UUUCAAAAGUUUAGCACUAAAUAUGGACUUGACUCUGAGAUAGUAGCCUCCUUUUGUGAAUCAUUUGCUACUCAUGUUGAACUCCCUAAAGAGAAGUGGUUUAAAUAUCACCCACCUAUAAAAGAAGAAAUUAAAGAACCGAUACCAAUUAAAGAAGAAACUAUACUUUAUAAUGUUGAUCCAGUUGUUCCUUCUGCUUAUAUUGAGAAACCACCUUUCCCUGUUAGGAUAAAGGAACAUGCUAAAGUUUCAACUGUGGUUAACAAAAGCUAUAUUAGAACACCUAAACCUGAUGAACAAAUCAAAGUAGAACCUAACAUAGCUAUGGUUAAAGAUCUCUUAGAAGAAGAUAUGGAUGGGAAUGUUAUUUACUUUUGUGAAGAAGCUGCUAGAAUUGCCAAACCUGGUAAGAAGGAUAAACAUAGACCUGUUGUUGGCAUGCCUGUCAUCUCAGUUAAAAUAGGAGAUCAUUGUUAUCAUGGUUUAUGUGACAUAGGUGCUAGUGUGAGUGCUAUUCCUUACACUUUAUAUCAAGAAAUUAUGAAUGACAUAGCACCUGCA